rnacentral:rRNA from 1 species
UAGUCCACGCCCUAAACGAUGCUAACUCGGUAUGUGCAUUUAUGUGCGUGCCUAAGGGAAACCAUUAAGUUAGCCACCUGGGGAGUACGUUCGCAAGAUUGAAACUCAAAGGAAUUGACGGGGCCCGCACAAGCGGUGGAGCAUGUGGUUUAAUUCGAUGAUACGCGAGGAACCUUACCAGGGCUUAAAUGUAGGUUGCAUUAGCUAGAGAUAGCUAUUUCUUCGGACUACUUACAAGGUGCUGCAUGGUUGUCGUCAGCUCGUGCCGUGAGGUGUCAGGUUAAGUCCUAUAACGAGCGCAACCCUUAUCGUUAGUUGCCAGCAAGUAAAGUUGGGGACUCUAGCGAGACUGCCGGUGCAAACCGAGAGGAAGGUGGGGAUGACGUCAAAUCAUCACGGGCCCUUACGUCCUGGGGCUACACACGUGCUACAAUGGGUAUGGGACAGAGAGCAGCCACUACGCGAGUAGGGAGCGAAUCUACAAACCAUAUCACAGUUCGGGAUCGGGA